CUCCCAGUCAGGAUGUUUACCGGUUUCCUCUUUCUGCUCCUCCUCACAGGUGGAAGUACCAACAAUAACUCAAAGGACGACAAUAACAACGGUGGAAGUUCCUGGAAUACCACAGAGCU